GGGUUGUGAGGUUAAGCGACUAAGCGUACACGGUGGAUGCCCUGGCAGUCAGAGGCGAUGAAGGACGUGCUAAUCUGCGAUAAGCGCCGGUAAGGUGAUAUGAACCGUUAUAACCGGCGAUUUCCGAAUGGGGAAACCCAGUGUGAUUCGUCACACUAUCAUUAACUGAAUCCAUAGGUUAAUGAGGCGAACCGGGGGAACUGAAACAUCUAAGUACCCCGAGGAAAAGAAAUCAACCGAGAUUCCCCCAGUAGCGGCGAGCGAACGGGGAGGAGCCCAGAGCCUGAAUCAGCAUGUGUGUUAGUGGAAGCGUCUGGAAAGGCGCGCGAUACAGGGUGACAGCCCCGUACACAAAAGCGCAUGUGCUGUGAGCUCGAUGAGUAGGGCGGGACACGUGGUAUCCUGUCUGAAUAUGGGGGGACCAUCCUCCAAGGCUAAAUACUCCUGACUGACCGAUAGUGAACCAGUACCGUGAGGGAAAGGCGAAAAGAACCCCGGCGAGGGGAGUGAAAAAGAACCUGAAACCGUGUACGUACAAGCAGUGGGAGCACCCUUCGGGGUGUGACUGCGUACCUUUUGUAUAAUGGGUCAGCGACUUAUAUUCUGUAGCAAGGUUAACCGUAUAGGGGAGCCGGAGGGAAACCGAGUCUUAACCGGGCGUUAAGUUGCAGGGUAUAGACCCGAAACCCGGUGAUCUAGCCAUGGGCAGGUUGAAGGUUGGGUAACACUAACUGGAGGACCGAACCGACUAAUGUUGAAAAAUUAGCGGAUGACCUGUGGCUGGGGGUGAAAGGCCAAUCAAACCGGGAGAUAGCUGGUUCUCCCCGAAAGCUAUUUAGGUAGCGCCUCGUGAAUUCAUCUCCGGGGGUAGAGCACUGUUUCGGCUAGGGGGCCAUCCCGGCUUACCAACCCGAUGCAAACUGCGAAUACCGGAGAAUGUUAUCACGGGAGACACACGGCGGGUGCUAACGUCCGUCGUGAAGAGGGAAACAACCCAGACCGCCAGCUAAGGUCCCAAAGUCAUGGUUAAGUGGGAAACGAUGUGGGAAGGCCCAGACAGCCAGGAUGUUGGCUUAGAAGCAGCCAUCAUUUAAAGAAAGCGUAAUAGCUCACUGGUCGAGUCGGCCUGCGCGGAAGAUGUAACGGGGCUAAACCAUGCACCGAAGCUGCGGCAGCGA
rnacentral:rRNA from 1 species